rnacentral:rRNA from 1 species
UACGUAGGGGGCAAGCGUUGUCCGGAAUCACUGGGCGUAAAGGGCGCGUAGGCGGCCUGAUAAGUAGGGGGUGAAAUCCUGCGGCUUAACCGCAGGGCUGCCUUCUAAACUGUCAGGCUAGAGCACAGUAGAGGCAGGUGGAAUUCCCGGUGUAGCGGUGGAAUGCGUAGAGAUCGGGAAGAACAUCAGUGGCGAAGGCGGCCUGCUGGGCUGUUGCUGACGCUGAGGCGCGACAGCGUGGGGAGCAAACAGG